rnacentral:rRNA from 1 species
GCUCAGGAUGAACGCUAGCUACAGGCUUAACACAUGCAAGUCGAGGGGCAGCGGGAUUGAAGCUUGCUUCAAUUGCCGGCGACCGGCGCACGGGUGAGUAACGCGUAUCCAACCUUCCGCUUACUCGGGGAUAGCCUUUCGAAAGAAGGAUUAAUACCCGAUGGUAUGAUGAGAUUGCAUGAUAGCAUCAUUAAAGAUUUAUUGGUAAGCGAUGGGGAUGCGUUCCAUUAGGUAGUAGGCGGGGUAACGGCCCACCCAGCCGACGAUGGAUAGGGGUUCUGAGAGGAAGGUCCCCCACAUUGGAACUGAGACACGGUCCAAACUCCUACGGGAGGCAGCAGUGAGGAAUAUUGGUCAAUGGGCGGAAGCCUGAACCAGC